rnacentral:rRNA from 1 species
AGCAGUAGCCGCGGGAACACGGAGGGUGCAAGCGUUAUCCGGAUUUAUUGGGUUUAAAGGGUCCGUAGGCGGAUCUGUAAGUCAGUGGUGAAAUCUCACAGCUUAACUGUGAAACUGCCAUUGAUACUGCAGGUCUUGAGUAAAUUUGAAGUGGCUGGAAUAAGUAGUGUAGCGGUGAAAUGCAUAGAUAUUACUUAGAACACCAAUUGCGAAGGCAGGUCACUAAGAUUUAACUGACGCUGAUGGACGAAAGCGUGGGGAGCGAACAGGAUUAGAUACCCCAGUAGUCCCUGUCUCUUAUAC